rnacentral:rRNA from 1 species
AUUGAACGCUGGCGGCAGGCUUAACACAUGCAAGUCGAACGAGUGGCGGACGGGUGAGUAAUGCUUGGGAAUCUAGCUGAUGGAGGGGGAUAACUACGGGAAACGGUAGCUAAUACCGCGUACCAUAGGAUGAGCCCAGAUGGGAUUAGGUAGUGGGUGAGGUAAAGGCUCACCUAGCCGACGAUCCCUAGCUGGUCUGAGAGGAUGACCAGCCACGCUGGAACUGAGACACGGCCCAGACUCCUACGGGAGGCAGCAGUGGGGAAUAUUGCGCAAUGGGCGCAACCCUGACGCAGCCAUGCCGCGCGAUUGAAGAAGGCCUUCGGGUUGUAAAGUACUUUCGGUAGGGAGGCGUUACCUACAGAAGAAGCACCGGCUAACUCCGUGCCAGCCGCCGCGGUAAUUC